GCCUCGAUGGCUCAGCUGGUUAAGUGUCUGACUUUCGCUCAGGUCAUGAUCUCACAAUUCGUGGAUUCAAAUCCCACGUCAGGCU
rnacentral:tRNA from 1 species